UUUCUCCGCCGGCGACCGGCGCACGGGUGAGUAACACGUAUGCAACCUGCCCCUGUCAGGGGGACAACCCGCCGAAAGGCGGGCUAAACCCGCGUACAUGCCACCGGGGCAUCCCGGAGGCAGGAAAGGCUUCGGCCGGACAGGGUUGGGCAUGCGGCGCAUUAGGCAGUAGGCGGGGUAACGGCCCACCUAACCGACGAUGCGUAGGGGUUCUGAGAGGAAGGUCCCCCACACUGGUACUGAGACACGGACCAGACUCCUACGGGAGGCAGCAG
rnacentral:rRNA from 1 species